CGGGGCGUAGCGCAGUCUGGUAGCGCGUUCGGUUCGGGACCGAAAGGUCGCUGGUUCGAAUCCAGUCGCCCCGACCA
rnacentral:tRNA from 1 species